AUGAGUGUGCCUCGUUCAAGGGGACGAUCUCCGAGGCAGGGCCACGAUGAGGGAGCCAGGGAGCCGAUGAGAUUCUACCAGCAGAUCAAGGACAACGAGGACCUCGCCAUGCUCGUCGUCCCUCCCAAGUUCGUGGAGGUGAUGAACACCUGGCUGGUGAUCAAGCGCCUCCCGCGCGUGGUCAGGCUCUCGGCCAACAAGCGGUGUGUGUUCUGGGUGCAGGUCCAGAACUUCGAGGGCCACAUGGUGCUUGGCCGGGGGUGGAACUACUUCUGCCGCCGCCGUCGCAUCGUCCUCGGAGACCUCGUCGUUGUGCGCAUCUCCGGUCUGGGACUGAAGGUUCAGAUCUACAACCACGACUCGUCGGUGAUGUGCAAGUAUCAUUGCAGCAGGAACAACUGCCUUGGUGGCACCGAGUAG
rnacentral:rRNA from 1 species